rnacentral:rRNA from 1 species
UACGAAGGGGGCUAGCGUUGCUCGGAAUCACUGGGCGUAAAGCGCACGUAGGCGGAUCGCUAAGUCAGGGGUGAAAUCCUGGAGCUCAACUCCGGAACUGCCUUUGAUACUGGCAAUCUCGAGUCCGGGAGAGGUGAGUGGAACUGCGAGUGUAGAGGUGAAAUUCGUAGAUAUUCGCAAGAACACCAGUGGCGAAGGCGGCUCACUGGCCCGGUACUGACGCUGAGGUGCGAAAGCGUGGGGAGCAAACAGG